rnacentral:rRNA from 1 species
UACGGGGGGGGGGCAAGCGUUUGUUCGGAAUUACUGGGCGUAAAGGGCGCGUAGGCGGUUCGCUAAGUUGGAUGUGAAAACUCUGGGCUCAACCCCAGAGCCUGCAUCCAAAACUGGCGGGCUAGAGUUCUGGAGGGGGUAGCGGAAUUCCUGGUGUAGCGGUGAAAUGCGUAGAUAUCAGGAGGAACACCGGUGGCGAAGGCGCCGCUCUGGGCCGAAAACUGACGCUGAGGAGCGAAAGCAUGGGUAGCAAACAGG